rnacentral:rRNA from 1 species
UGAACUGAGGACACUGUCCAGACUCCUACGGGAGGCUGCAGUCGAGAAUCUGGCAAUGCACGAAAGUGUGACCCAGCGACGCGCGUGAAGGAUGAAGGCCCUCUGGGUCGUAAACUCUUUACGGGAGAAGAAGAACUGACGGUAUCCCGUGAAUAAGCCACGGCUAACUACGUGCCAGCAGCCGCGGUAAUACGUAGGUGGCAAGCGUUGUCCGGAUUUACUGGGCGUAAAGCGCGCGCAGGCGGAUGGUUAAGUAGGAAGUGAAAGGUUGGAGCUCAACUCCAACAUUGCUUCCUAUACUGGCCGUCUUGAGUCCCGGAGAGGAAAGCGGAACGACACGUGGAGCGGUGAAAUGCGUUGACAUGUGUCGGAACACCAAUGGCGAAGGCAGCUUUCUGGACGGGUACUGACGCUCAGGCGCGAAAGCCGAGGUAGCGAACAGGAUUAGAUACCCUGGUAGUCUCGGCCCUAAACGAUGAUCACUAGGUGUCGGGGGGUUUCCCUCGGUGCCGCAGCUAACGCAUUAAGUGAUCCGCCUGGGGACUACGGCCGCAAGGUUGAAACUCAAAGGAAUUGGCGGGGGACCGCACAAGCGGUGGAGCAUAUGGCUUAAUUCGAUGCAACGCGAAGAACCUUACCCAGGCUUGACAUGUAACUGCAAGCUCCCCAAAAGGAGCCGCUUUCGAAGGUGUUACACAGGUGGUGCAUGGCUGUCGUCAGCUCGUGUUGUGAAAUGUUGGGUUAAGUCCCGCAACGAGCGCAACCCUCAUGUUCUGUUGCCAGCGAGUAAUGUCGGGAACUCGGAACAAACUGCCCAUGUAAGUGGGAGGAAGGUGGGGAUGACGUCAAGUCAUCAUGCCCCUUACGCCUGGGGCUGCACAUAUGCUACAAUGGCUGCUACAAAGGGCUGCGAACUCGCGAGAGUAAGCCAAUCCCAAAAAAGCAGUCUCAGUUCGGAUUGGAGUCUGCAACUCGACUCCAUGAAGCUGGAAUCGCUAGUAACCGCAGGUCAGCACUACUGCGGUGAAUACGUUCCCGGUCCUUGCACACACCGCCCGUCACAUGACGAAAGUUGGUAUUAUCCGAAGUCACCAGGCUAACCGCAAGGAAGCAAGUGCCGAAGGUAGUCCGAUAUGCA